GCCCCCAUAGCUUAAUGGAUAAAGCGCGGCCCUCCGGAGGCUGAAAUCUCCGUUCGAAUCGGAGUGGGGGCACCA
rnacentral:tRNA from 3 species